rnacentral:lncRNA from 1 species
GGUGGUAAUUUGCACUCCAGGGAAUAUUGAUGUUUGUAUUACAAGAAAUGGUUACCCAACUAUCAUGUAAGUUGGUAACCUUGUAUAAAACUAUGUAUAUGAAAACUAACUUACUUUGAAACCAGGGGAUACAAGGUAAGAGAGCUUGGAGAUGGAAGAGACGAGGGUGAAGAUGGAAGAGAUGAUGGUUUACAAGUGAGAGAGUGAGGAAGAAGAGAGA